CUCAACUCGAAGCAACAACACCUAAAUUAUUUUUGUGGUCUCUUAAUUCUUUUUCGGUUUUCAGAUCAAUCAUGUGCUGUGGUCCUUGCGGUGGUUGCUGUGGUGGAUGCGGUCCCUGUGGUGCCGGUCCCUGUGGUGGUGGCUGCUUUGGACCCAAUGUCUGUGGACCCUGCUAUGCCACAGGGCCCUGUUUCGGUUGCUGUGGACCCUGUGCCGCCUGCGGUCCGUGCGGCGGUUGCGCCAGCAGCUGUGGACCCUCUUGCUGAGUUCCACUUGCAUAUGUAUUAGCAUUGACCUGGCGACACCCGAAUAAAGUGCCUCCAAUAUAGAACCAUUGGGCUGCGCAUCUAAA